CAACUUUUAACGGUGGAUCUCUAGGCUCGCGUAUCGAUGAAGAACGUAGCAAAGUGCGAUAAGUAGUGCGAAUUGCGAAAUUCAGUGAAUCAUCGAAUUUUUGAACGCAGAUUGCGCUGUUAGGAUUUCUUAGCAGCAUGUCUGUCUGAGUGUCGUUU
rnacentral:rRNA from 2 species